GUCCGCUAGGAUUUCAGCAGAUACUCUAAGGGCAUGGCUGGGUUUGUUAAAGUCCAGAGAAAGAACUUUCAAGAACCAGCAAAGAAAUAUAUGUCAAAACUCCAAAUUCUAAAGGGCUAGCCCAUCUGAGCAGAGCAACAAGAUUACAAUCAAGAAUGAUGCAGAGAAGGGCAACCACCAUAGUGCGAUGAUCUGCUAAGCCUGAAAAUGAAGAUUUAUGCUGGAAAGCCUGGCAGACCC